rnacentral:lncRNA from 1 species
AACCCUAAAACCCAUAACACACGUUUACUCCUUCUACUACAGGCGAGUAAGUCUCCAAAGGUCGAGCAUCCGGUAGAUUGCGUAGUGACGUCGUUCGUCCAAAACCCAAUCCAUAACCCCGUAGUUAGACGAACUACGGCUUGCUCUGAUUCUCAUUCCAGAUGAGAUACGUAGGCAUAAGACGCGAUGUCUUAGCGAGCACACAUC